GGACGCGCUUGAACAUCGUUGCGGUGACGAGCAUGUCAUAUCUUCGCGUUUCGUGCGAAGCAGAGAAUGCACGUAACCGCGGCGCAAAGCUGUCUUCCGCCCAGUUCUCGUGAACACUUCAUCCACCAGACAAUAGUUUACCGUAUCGACCUAUUCUCUCUCUUUCUCUCUCGUGUACGCGGCUUCUCCCUCCGUGCCUCGUUUUCAUCUACCUCCUCGUGCCACCCCGCUCCAGCCAACCACGAACUUGCUCUUCUGGCCUUCCCUUCGUGCCUUUCUGCAGAUCCAACUUGUUUCUGUGUGCCAUGAACUCCGAAGCUUCCGAGUCCACUUAGGAACAGCUGCGAACAAUCAACGAGGAGCGAUAUUUUGUCAACUUUCUUGCCGAUAUUUUUACAAGUUCUCGUUCACCUUCGGACACUCUCGGCGUUCUGAGUUAUUGUCUUUAUGUUAUCCUAUCCACGAUCUCGUUCCCGGGUUCAAUUGUAUCGUGUCGCACGAAGUACGAAGACAAUACAUAGAGGGAGUAUAUAAUGAAUAAUUGAAUUCUACACAAAAAUUUUAUUUUCUUCUCUCAGUUAUAACCUGUAGUUAUAUAUAAACAUCAGAAGGAAGAAUAUGGUUAGAUCUUGGAUGUCACAAAAACACGGCAAAGCAAAUAAAAGAUCACAAGCUUACGACUUACUAUCGAACGAACAAAAUUCCAUAGAGUAUUUAAGAAAAUUAGAAGAAAUUCAUGUGAUAUAUAACAGUCCAUAGUAAAAGUUUGGACACUUGCGAAUAUGAUUAACUUGCGAAGUUAACUUCAAUUUGCUCCAAAUCGAACGUCGCUCGUAGACCUCGCGCCGUCACGGUUUCCGAAGUUCUAGUUGGAGAACCAGCAUCGACCAAAAGUACAGAAAGUCCACGGGAGUGAGAGCACGUGCAAGGCAAAGGUUGGUUGUUUCAGAGCUCGUCCGAAUCGUUUCAACCCAGGGUCAGUGGAACGUGCUUGUGUACGAACUGUCCGCAACUGUCAUUCACCUCGUGGCUCGCCACGCGUUCGUGGCGGAUAUUUCCGUAUGGUUUGCGGGAAAAAGUUAUCACGGGAAACGAGGGAAAAAUCGAAGUGCCACAACGGAUGAGUUUUCGCGGCCUGAGAUUCCUCUUUCAUUGGUUACACACAGAGAGAAUGAGAAUAUUGGAAAAAAAAGGAACGCUUCGCGACCACUAUCAGUUACAACAUGGAGAAUUGCAUUUGUACAGUCUGAUUCAUAGGGCCAAAUAUUAUUUCAUUUAUGUUUUUACAUUGUUUUGAUUUUAUGAUUAUUAUGAUUUCAAUAUUAUUUUAGGAUUAAACAGGAAGAUUUUCAUAUCGUGUAAUUUUAAUUAACAAAGUCGAAAAUAUCUUGUCAAACCGAAUGAUGAUUCAAUAUCCUAAUUAUAAUAAGCAGUAUUUGAAAAUUUUGAGAAGGAUGAAAUGACAUAAUUCAACUGCGAAGCCAAAUAGAUGAUAUUGAUAAUAAGAUUAUAAGAUUGAUUAAUAAGUACUGGAUUUUAAAACUGCUUUUUAAUAAAAUAUAUCCUAUAGCCUUUCAAUUGAAAUUGGCUGGAGAGCUUCAAAGAACGCUAGAAGAAAAAUGUAUCCUUAUGCUGCGUUCAAACUUUACUGGCGUGUCAUUUGCAAUUUGUAUUCAAAACUUCCAUGCAUUCUGUCCCACGCAUUUGAUAAACACACACAUACGCACACACAGUAAUGAACUUAGAAACUUAAGUCCACUUUUACGCUAUUUUGUGGCGUAACGACGCAGCUCAACGUUUACCUCCAAAAGCUGUGCAUUUAAUGGAAACAGGAGGAGAAGGAAAAGAAAUACAAGCACUUGUUCGAAUAUAUAUCUGGUUCUAUUCGCGGUCAUUCAAGACUCUCAUUACACUCGUACAUCACUGUGUACAUUGAGCACAUUGAGCUUUCGCGCGUGAAAAGCUGGCCUCGUUAACGAAGCACGAUCGUAAGCAAAGUCGUCUUCCGGAGCGUGUUAUUCGUUCGACGACACAUCAACUGUCACUGAAGGCGACUGUUCACCGUCUCCGGGAUAUAAAAGACGGCCAUACUGACCCCGAAUCGCGGGUUAUCGAAUCGUGCCUUCAUCGACAGAUAGACAUCGAGAUGCGUACUGACAUACAGUCAAAGAGCGUUGUUCGCGUGACAGCGAACCAAGCGUACUCUUACGCCCGUGGUUCACUCUUCUGACAGUCGUGACCUUCGAACGUUUAUCGGUCGGAAACUUUCAUCGGAAUUUCGCCUCCGCUCCCGGUUAAAAAGUCGAACGCUCUAGUUAUCGGCUGCAUGGUGAUUUUGUCUUUGGAUAAAUCGACAAAUCGAGGGACAAGUGAAAAUAACGGACGAUGACGGAACACGGAGAGAAUGGAAUCGAGCAGUAUGUUCCUGUCAGGUACGUUCCGAGUAAAUCUCAAAUUUUUCAAAUAUAGUGAUACAACGUUUCAUAACUAUUUAACAACAGAACUGCCAAAGUAAUCAAAAUGAUUAAUUCAUAAUUGUAAACUUUCUCCUACUCUUUGUACUUUAAUUUGAAUGACUUUGAACACGUGAUUUUUAUAAUAAUUUCAAGUUAUCGUCUAGCAUCGCUUGAUAAUUUUAUUACAUGAAUAGUCUAUAGCAUUAAGAAAGGAUACUACAAAUAUCAAGGAGUAAGUCGCAAGAUUUCUAGAUAUUCUAUUUAAGUAGCCAGUCGAAACUUCUGCUUUCCCCAAAACUUAUAAAGUGCUCCGGCCCGCAUAACUUCCGGCUUCGUAGACUAAUCUUCAUCGUUUUCUGGUAGUUCACAGUGAGGUAGGUCGGCAUAGUUUCCCGUUGAUGCCGCCUUUCUAUUCGAAAGACUCGUCAGGGAACAAGAAAGCAUAACGUGGUCGGGUGUCGCGACGCCAGACGUGGUUGCAUUUACGAAAAGGAUGAUAAAAUGAACGCGCGUUGCUUAGAAACGUAAAUGCAAUUAAGUUCUGCCUGGAUGCACCCAGCAGUUCUCAAUGCGAAACACGAAACAAUUCUUCACUACUAAAAGUUCUGCUUACAAUUGCAGAAGGAAAGUUUAUGCUACUACGAAUGAAAUUUGUAAUUCUUUAUUGGUGUAUUGGACUGGUAAAAAGAAUUUUCGGCUUUGAGGAACUUAAAAAGAUGUAUUUUGAA